rnacentral:lncRNA from 1 species
GGGCUACAAAGAAUAUCUAUCUCAGUAUGUUGAGAAAGCUAGAUCCAAAGUUGCAUUCAGAGACAACUCAAUCAGAGAAACAAAAGGCUAUGGUGUGCUCAACAUGGGUAACGCCAGUAUCAGUAAUAUUAGCUUUGUUUCUGGUCUUAAACAUAAUCUGUUGUCUGUGAGUCAAUUUUGUGACAGCGGUUUCACAGUGAAGAUCAAAAAGG